GACGAACGCUGGCGGCGUGCUUAACACAUGCAAGUCGAACGGAAAGGCCCCUUUGGGGGUACUCGAGUGGCGAACGGGUGAGUAACACGUGAGUAACCUGCCCUUGACUUCGGGAUAACUUCAGGGAACUGGGGCUAAUACCGGAUAGGAAUCCUUGCUGCAUGGUGGGGGUUGGAAAGCUUCGGCGGUUUUGGAUGGACUCGCGGCUUAUCAGCUUGUUGGUGGGGUAGUGGCUUACCAAGGCUUUGACGGGUAGCCGGCCUGAGAGGGCGACCGGCCACAUUGGGACUGAGAUACGGCCCAGACUCCUACGGGAGGCAGCAGUGGGGAAUAUUGCACAAUGGGCGGAAGCCUGAUGCAGCAACGCCGCGUGCGGGAUGACGGCCUUCGGGUUGUAAACCGCUUUCAGCAGGGGCGAAGCUUUUGUGACGGUACCUGCAGAAGAAGCACCGGCUAACUACGUG
rnacentral:rRNA from 1 species